UAGGAGAGUUGGGACAAUUUUCGUUGGUUUAUUUCUCACACAAUGCCAUGCCAACCUGAGGGGUUGGGGAUACAUAUUUAUAGGCUGCUAGCCAGCCAAGCAUAUGCUAAGAUGCUAGUCUAAGAUGCUGCUAAGAUGCUAGUCCAAGAUGCUAUCCUAACUGCCAGUCCUUGAUGGUCAAGGAUUCUAUCCUAACAGCCACAAGGACCAUGUGCUGCAGCCCCACAAAGGACUAUGUGCUGCAGCCCCACAAAGACCAUAGUACAUAGACUUAUCCAUCAGAUUGGGUUAGGAAAACCAUAUGAUUUGGACACACUGGUGUACGCAUCAGUCUUAAAGGUCAAA
rnacentral:lncRNA from 1 species